CGAGGACCAGGAGGAUGGCUUUAUGACAUCAGAUCACAACAGUACAGUGUUCCUACCCGAGGACCAGGAGGAUGGCUUUAUGACAUCAGAUCACAACAGUACAGUGUUCCUACCCGAGGGCCAGGAGGAUGGCUUUAUGACAUCAGAUCACAACAGUACAGUGUUCCUACCCGAGGGCCAGGAGGAUGGCUUUAUGACAUCAGAUCACAACAGUACAGUGUUCCUACCCGAGGGCCAGGAGGAUGGCUUUAUGACAUCAGGUCACAACAGUACAGUGUUCCUACCCGAGGGCCAGGAGGAUGGCUUUAUGACAUCAGAUCACAACAGUACAGUGUUCCUACCCGAGGACCAGGAGGAUGGCUUUAUGACAUCAGAUCACAACAGUACAGUGUUCCUACCCGAGGGCCAGGAGGAUGGCUUUAUGACAUCAGGUCACAACAGUACAGUGUUCCUACCCGAGGGCCAGGAGGAUGGCUUUAUGACAUCAGAUCACAACAGUACAGUGUUCCUACCCGAGGGCCAGGAGGAUGGCUUUAUGACAUCAGAUCACAACAGUACAGUGUUCCUACCCGAGGGCCAGGAGGAUGGCUUUAUGACAUCAGAUCACAACAGUACAGUGUUCCUACCCGAGGGCCAGGAAAGCCACGGAUUCCAGUUUCUCC